GGUCAGCUGACACAUCCCUGCCAAUCUCCGGCAGACCCUCCCUCCCAGACCCUCCUACUUCCUGGACAGCAUCCAUGUUGAAGGCAGCUUCAACAUGGAUGCUGUCCAGGAGGUGGGAGGGUCUGGGAGGGAGGGUCUGCCGGAGAUUGGCAGGGAUGUGUCAGUUG